rnacentral:piRNA from 1 species
UGCUGCAGCUAAGUAGGGUGGACUGGGU